rnacentral:rRNA from 1 species
UACGGAGGGUGCAAGCGUUAUCCGGAUUUACUGGGUUUAAAGGGUGCGCAGGCGGAUAUGUAAGUCAGUGGUGAAAUCUCCGGGCUUAACCCGGAAACUGCCGUUGAUACUAUAUAUCUUGAAUGCUGUGGAGGUAAGCAGAAUAUGUCAUGUAGCGGUGAAAUGCUUAGAUAUGACAUAGAACACCAAUUGCGAAGGCAGCUCACUACACGAAUAUUGACACUGAGGCACGAAAGCGUGGGGAUCAAACAGG